rnacentral:tRNA from 1 species
UCCUGGUGGUCCCAGAUGGUAAAGGGUCUGCCUGCAAUGCAGAAGCCCCAGGUUCUAUCCCUGGGUCAGGAA